GAAUCAGAGUCACCACUUGGAAUAUUUUAUUGGCGUCCCAAGUCACAGGUUUUAUUUUUAAAUCCCAAAUCAAGGAAAAUUCGACUUUCCUUUUGAAGUUUGCGAACCAGAAAUUCUGAAUAAGGAAUUCUGUUAACCCGGAGGAAGGUUUUAGGCACCCCCGGGUUCCGUGGUUCUAGCACGGUCACUUAAACUAUUAUAAUUGACCUAUUAUCUGAUUUUAAUACAUGUCUUAGCCUAUGAUUCAAUUUU
rnacentral:lncRNA from 1 species